rnacentral:rRNA from 1 species
UCUCAAAUCAGGUAGGACUACCCGCUGRACUUAAGCAUAUCAAUAAGCGGAGGAAAAGAAACUAACAAGGAUUCCCCUAGUAACGGCGAGUGAAGCGGGAAGAGCUCAAAUUUAAAAUCUGGCGGUGUAUUCCGUCCGAGUUGUAGUCUAGAGAAGCAUCAUCCGUGCCGGACCAUGUACAAGUCUCUUGGAACAGAGCGUCAUAGAGGGUGAGAAUCCCGUCCUUGACAUGGACUCCCGGUGCUUUGUGUUGAGCUCUCAACGAGUCGAGUUGUUUGGGAAUGCAGCUCAAAAUGGGUGGUAAAUUCCAUCUAAAGCUAAAUAUUGGCGAGAGACCGAUAGCGAACAAGUACCGUGAGGGAAAGAUGAAAAGCACUUUGGAGAGAGAGUUAAACAGUACGUGAAAUUGUUGAAACGGAAACGAUUGAAGUCAGUCGCGUUCUCUGGGAUUCAGCCUUGCUUCUGCUUGGUGCAUUUCCUAGUCUACGGGCCAGCAUGGAUUUCGACCGUUGGAAAAGGGCUGGGGGAAUGUGGCACCUUCGGGUGUGUUAUAGCCCCUUGUCGCAUGCAUCGGUUGGGAUCGAGGACCUCAGUGCACGCUUCGGUUGUGCUUUGAUGCUGGCGUAAU